GAGUUUGAUCAUGGCUCAGAACGAACGCUGGCGGCAUGCCUAACACAUGCAAGUCGAACGAGAUUCUUCGGGGUCUAGUGGCGCACGGGUGCGUAACGCGUGGGAGUCUGCCCCUUGCUUCGGAAUAACAGUUAGAAAUGACUGCUAAUACCGGAUGAUGACUUCGGUCCAAAGAUUUAUCGGCAAGGGAUGAGCCCGCGUAGGAUUAGGUAGUUGGUGGGGUAAAGGCCUACCAAGCCGACGAUCCUUAGCUGGUCUGAGAGGAUGAUCAGCCACACUGGGACUGAGACACGGCCCAGACUCCUACGGGAGGCAGCAGUGGGGAAUAUCGGACAAUGGGCGAAAGCCUGAUCCAGCAAUGCCGCGUGAGUGAUGAAGGCCUUAGGGUUGUAAAGCUCUUUCGCACGCGACGAUGAUGACGGUAGCGUGAGAAGAAGCCCCGGCUAACUUCGUGCCAGCAGCCGCGGUAAUACG
rnacentral:rRNA from 1 species